GGGGAAUAUUGGACAAUGGGCGCAAGCCUGAUCCAGCCAUGCCGCGUGUGUGAAGAAGGUCUUCGGAUUGUAAAGCACUUUAAGUUGGGAGGAAGGUCAGUAACCUAAUACGUUGCUGAUUUGACGUUACCGACAGAAUAAGCACCGGCUAACUCUGUGCCAGCAGCCGCGGUAAUACAGAGGGUGCAAGCGUUAAUCGGAAUUACUGGGCGUAAAGCGCGCGUAGGUGGUUAUGUAAGUUGGAUGUGAAAUCCCCGGGCUCAACCUGGGAACUGCAUCCAAAACUGCAUAGCUAGAGUACGGUAGAGGGUGGUGGAAUUUCCUGUGUAGCGGUGAAAUGCGUAGAUAUAGGAAGGAACACCAGUGGCGAAGGCGACCACCUGGACUGAUACUGACACUGAGGUGCGAAAGCGUGGGGAGCAAAC
rnacentral:rRNA from 1 species